AGUUUGAUCCUGGCUCAGAUUGAACGCUGGCGGGAUGCUUUACACAUGCAAGUCGAACGGCGUGGUGGACUUCGGUCUGGUGGCGAGUGGCGAACGGGUGAGUAAUGUAUCGGAACGUGCCUAGUAGCGGGGGGAUAACUACGCCGAAAGCGUAGCUAAUACCGCAUACGCCCUUCGGGGAAAGCGGGGGGACCUUUCGGGCCUCGCACUAUUAGGAGCGGCCGAUAUCGGAUUAGCUAGCGGUGGGGUAACGGCUCACCAAGGCGACGAUCCGUAGCUGGUUUGAGAGGACGACCAGCCACACUGGGACUGAGACAUGGCCCAGACUCCUACGGGAGGCAGCAGUGGGGAAUUUUAGACAAUGGGGGAAACCCUGAUCCAGCCAUCCUGCGUGUGCGAUGAAGGCCUUCGGGUUGUAAAGCACUUUGUGAGGUAAGAAACGGCACGGGAUAAUACCCCGCAACGACGGUACCUGCAGAAUAAGCACCGCUAACUACGUGCCAGCAGCCGCGGUAAUACGUAGGGUAAGCGUUAAUCGGAAUUACUGGGCGUAAAGCGUGCGCAGGCGGUUCGGAAAGAAAGAUGAAAUCCCAGAGCUUAACUUUGGAACUGCAUUUUUAACUACCGAGCUAGAGUGUGUCAGAGGGAGGUGGAAUUCCGCGUGUAGCAGUGAAAUGCGUAGAUAUGCGGAGGAACACCGAUGGCGAAGGGCAGCCUCCUGGGAUAACACUUCGACGCUCAUGCACGAAAGCGCGUGGGGAGCAAACAGGAUUAGAUACCCUGGUAGUCCACGCCCUAAACGAUGUCAACUAGCUGUUAGCUUCCGGGCUCCGGUAGCGCAGCUAACGCGUGAAGUUGACCGCCUGGGGAGUACGGUCGCAAGAUUAAAACUCAAAGGAAUUGACGGGGACCCGCACAAGCGGUGGAUGAUGUGGAUUAAUUCGAUGCAACGC
rnacentral:misc_RNA from 1 species